rnacentral:rRNA from 1 species
CAAACCCAAAGGCGUAAUAAAAGUAAAAGGGUGGAUAAUUAGUUUACGUGCAUUUAUGUGUGUAUACAAUUUCCCCCGAGGAAAGAUGGAAUGAUUGUUUUUACAAACAUUAUGGUUAUGGCUAUUCUAUGUUUUAAAGGCAAAAGAUUUCCCGCAUUCCCAGGGCGCUUCUUUGUCUUGCUUUGCAAGUCAAAGCGCACCUAGAGCGUACACGCUGAUACCCGAAAGAUGGUGAACUAUGCCUGGCCAGGACGAAGCCAGGGGAAACCCUGGUGGAGGUCCGCAGCGAUUCUGACGUGCAAAUCGAUCGUCGGAGCUGGGUAUAGGGGCGAAAGACCAAUCGAACCAUCUAGUAGCUGGUUCCCUCUGAAGUUUCCCUCAGGAUAGCUUGCGCUCGGUUGAGAAGAGUCUCAUCCGGUAGAGCGAAUGAUUAGAGGCAUUGGGGUCGAAACGACCUCAACCUAUUCUCAAACUCCAAAUAGAUGAGAUCCCCGGCUUUCUUAAAAAUGAAGCCGUGGGCUUUUUGAUCAGAGUGCCAAGUGGGCCAAU